AUGCUCAUGAGAAACAUGAUGGGAGGAGGAAUGGGUGGAAUUGGAGGAGGAAUGGGUGGAAUGGGAGGAGGAAUUGCUGCAAUGGGAGGAGGAAUGGGUGGCUACAUGAACAUGAUGGAAGGUUCCAUGGGUGGUGUCUUUGGUGGCAACAUGGAUGGUAGCUAUGAUGGCAACAUGAGUGUCACGGGAGAUGGCUUCAGUGGCAAUAUGAGUGGCAUGGGAGGUGCUUUCGGUGGAGGUGGCGGCAUCGAUGCAUCAACGCAAGAGAACAUCGAGAAAGGAGCCAUUGAUGAUGAUGAUACCAAUGUCCACAAUAUGACAAGUGACAACGAAGAGAAUGAAAGUUGA
rnacentral:rRNA from 1 species